rnacentral:rRNA from 1 species
GUGAGACAGUUCGGUCCCUAUCUGCCGUGGGCGCAGGAAAUUUGAGAAGAGUUGCUCCUAGUACGAGAGGACCGGAGUGAACGAACCUCUGGUGUUCGGGUUGUUACGCCAGUAGCAUUGCCCGGUAGCUAUGUUCGGACAGGAUAACCGCUGAAAGCAUCUAAGCGGGAAGCCCCCUUCGAGACGAGAUUUCCCUUAGGACUUGAUCCUACUAAAGUGCCGUUCAAGACGAGGACGUUGAUAGGUUGGGUGUGUAAGCGCUGUGAGGCGUUGAGCUAACCAAUACUAAUUGCACGUGAGGCUU